rnacentral:misc_RNA from 1 species
GCUCCGUAGGUGAACCUGCGGAGGGAUCAUUACAGAGUUCAUGCCCUACCGGGUAGAUCUCCCACCCUAUGUUAUUAUUACUUUGUUGCUUUGGCGGGCCGUUAGGCUCCGGCCCGACUACCGGCCCCGGCUGGUAAGCGCCCGCCAGAGGACCCAAAACCCUGAAUAUUAGUGUCGUCUGAGUACUAUAUAAUAGUUAAAACUUUCAACAACGGAUCUCUUGGUUCU